AGAUGGCACACAGACUACUUCAUGACAGAGGUGACACUGCAAUUUCCCUCGUCUUGCCAGGUCCUAAGAAACUGAUUAGGUUCUGGAGCUACAACAGCUGGAAGUAGUGGCUUUUUAUUAUUAAUUUUAAAAAGGAUUUAAGAGGCCAUAACCCUUUGCACUCCCCAAGAGAAAAAAAAACGAAGUCAACACCACUCCCCAGGAGACAAUUCCCAUAAGGUUCACAGUGACUUCUUCCCCAGCAGUAUUCAAGAGGCAGAGGCCAAUUCUCAAAAGCAGAAAUGUUACGUCUUAUUUCCCCUUCCCUGUUGCCAUGUUGUUUUCA